rnacentral:rRNA from 1 species
UACAGAGGUCCCAAGCGUUGUUCGGAUUCACUGGGCGUAAAGGGUGCGUAGGUGGCAGGGUAAGUUUGAUGUGAAAUCUCCGAGCUUAACUCGGAAACUGCAUUGAAUACUAUCCUGCUCGAGGGUUGGAAGGGGGACUGGAAUUCUCGGUGUAGCAGUGAAAUGCGUAGAGUAUGAGAGGAACACCAGUGGCGAAGGCGAGUUCCUG